UUGUUUGGUUUUUUGUUUGUUUGUUUUGUAGAAAAAGGUGUCGUUUAGGAUCUUAGUUAAGAGUUAUCAGAGAUCAGACCUCUACUCUUGCCUGAUGCAUCUAAAACAAAAAGGGGGAACUGUAGAGAGCUGCGGAAUGCUAUGCCUUAAAGAUGGAGCUGGUUUCCACCUUCUACCUUCCCGAUGAUCAGUGUCCUGAGAGUGGGAAGCUGGUGAAAGAAGAGGAUACUUCAGUGGCUGGGGAGGUCAGGGAAGAUGGACCAUAACGCUACAGUUGGGAUGAGUUGGACCACCUGCAUCAGAGAUUGUUGGUUUGUCACCUAGAUGGCUUCGAGAAAAUUGUUCCCCUUCUCUGAGACUUACUCGAUCUUUGUAGAUUGAAUGGUGAGAUUUGCAGACCUCUAAAGAUCCCUCUCCUGUCGAUAACUGAUAGGUGUACAGGGAAAAUAAUUAUCCGGACAGAAGAUGGACACAAGAUUAAACAAUAGCAGACUAUGUAUGACUGAUGGGUGGGAUUUUCAGACUCAGACAUGGGCUCCAGAAGGCAGGAGGUAUCUCUCAGAUAAGAUAUAAUAAUGAGAAGACAUUGCUUCAGCCUUUAUGGAUGACAUAUAUUUUUUAAAAUAAGUUAUUUUUAUUUCAUGUGCAUUGGUGUUUUGAUUGCAUGUAUGUCUGUGUGAGGGUGUUGAAUCCCCUGGAACAGGAGUUACAGACAGUUGUGAGCUGUCAUCUGGGUGCUGGGAAUUGAACUCGGGUCCUCUGGAAGAGCAGCCAGAGCUCUUAACUGCUGAGCCAUCUCUCCAGACCCAGCAUAUGGUUUUGAGAGCUCCCCAAAGUCAGGCUCAUUGUCACCGGUACAGAUAUCUCUCUGUACUUUCUGCUGUUUUUGUCAUUUUAAAAGCUAUUCCUUACAAAAGGAUUUUUUACCGGUAAAUUGAAGGCUUUGUCGCUCCUUAAAAUUUAGUUAAAGCAUUGACCUUGACUAGCUCACACAUCAGUUUUGUUCAGUUUCAUAUGGGAAUUAUAAAAGAAAAAUAAAGAUGCCAUUUGGGAUCAUGUGA